GGGGUGGGGCAGAAGCCACCCCCACCCCUCAAGGUGAAGUCCAGUCGGGAAACCAGGCCAGUGUCGCCAGACUUUAUACCACCGCUGAGAACCUGCCCAGCACAACCAACCCAGGCCGCCCGACGGGACUCUGGCUACCCUCUUCCCACCCCUGGGUAGCUCUCAGGCUCCAUUCUCCGCUCUGCCUCCUCCAAGUCCUUUCUCCUGUACGAGCUGCUUCAGCCCCUCAGUCACCUUCCCCUUACGCUGUGACUGCGACUUCACCAUCCCCUUCACCAUUCCCAUGACCUGCCAUCUAAACCACACGGUCUUUUGUGCUUUAUGAAGUAGGCAUCACGCUGUAACUUAUCUGUCACUGCCUGCCUCACUCUUGGAGUCAGGCUGUGUCUCCAGUAGAGGAGACUGGGAAUUUUGAACCACAGGAAAGAGAGUGGUCAUUUUUGGCUUGCCAGUCCAGUUAGAGCUGGAAUUGGCCACCAAACAAGGGGGCUUCAUCAGGAUCACCCUUGCCUCCAUUUUCGGAAGAUCUUGAAGGAAUAUGACUGCCAGCCUUCACUUUCCACAAGCAAACAAACCCUCUGAGGAAGCAGGAUGCUCCUGCUUGGAGCUGGUUGGCCUCAGGCUGUGGUGCCCAGUUACCUGCUGGUCCCUUCAGGCUUCAGGCCUCAGGUCUCAUACCUCCAGGGAGUUCUGUUGGCCCAUCUGAAGUUCUGCCUACAAGGAGAUUUGGAUUUGUUUUCCCAGUUGAACCAAAGACCAGAUUGAAACAGGAUCUCCUGCCAUCAGCGCUGCCACUAACCACUAAUGUCUUGGGAAAGGCAGUUCCAUCUUGUUUGGUCAGGCCUGUCCCUUUAGAGAUAUGCACAUAGUGAAUGUGUCAGGAGUGGGUCAGCUUGCUUUUUUGAGUCUGUUCUAGUUAUGUCUUGCCCCAAAAUGCUCUGGAUGACCCAGGAACCCUUGCACAAGAGUCUGGAAUCCUUUGAGAAUCUCGAGGGUCAGACUGGGCUUGGAUCCUAGUCUCCUCUGCCAGUGGCACACUGGGCACUGCUGCAGGCUCUUUCUCAAAGUUCCUUUACUUCAUCUUCACAUCCCAGGAACCAACCCAAAUGCACCUUGUAGCAGAGCUCACCAUUCCUUCCUUCCUUUUUUUUUUUUUUUUUUUUUUUGAGACUGAGCCUUGCUCUGUAGCACAGACUGGAGUGCAAUGGCAUAAUCUUGGCUCACUGCAACCUCCGCCUCCCAGGUUCAAGCAAUUCUCCUGCCUCAGCCUCCUGAGUAGCUGGGGUUACAGGUGUGUGCCACCACAACCAGCUAAUUUUUGUAUUAGAGACAGGGUUUUGCCGUGUUGGCCAGGCUGGUCUCAAACUCCAGAUCUCAGAUGAUCCACCUGCCCCAGCAUCCCAAAGUGCUAGGACUGCAGAUGUAAGCCACUGCACCUGGCCAAGAGCUCACUGUUUCUACGCAAAUAAAAUAGAAUGAGGCUGGGCGCGGUGGCUCAAGCCUGUAAUCCCAGCACUUUGGGAGGCCGAGGUGGGUGGAUCACGAGGUCAGCAGAUCGAGACCAUUCUGGUCAACAUAGUGAAACCCCGUCUCUACUAAAAAUACAAAAAUUUAGCUGGGCACGGUGGCAUGUGCCUGUAAUCCCAGCUACUCAGGAGGCUGAGGCAGGAGAAUUGCCUGAAUCCAGGAGGCGGAGGUUGUGGUGAGCCGAGAUCGCGCCAUUGCACUCCAGCCUGGGUGAAAAGAGUGAAACUCUGUCUCAAAAAAAAAAAAGAAUGAAAGUCUAUUUCUAGAAGAAGAAAUUUUGAAUUUUGAAGAAUCUUCUAAUAGAAGAAAUUUUGGAAAUUUAAAAAUUCAUAAUUGUUUUUGAAAGACUGCAGCCUGGCACGGUGGUUCAUGCCUGUAAUCCCAGCAUUUUGGGAGGCCAAGGCAGGCGGAUCACCUGAGGUCAGGAGUUUGAGACCAGCCUGACCAACAUGGUGAAACCCUGCCUCUACUAAAAAUACAAAAAUUAGCUGGGCAUGGUGGCAGGUGCGGGUAAUUUCAGCUACUUGGGAGGCUAAGGCAGGAGAAUUGCCUGAAACCAGGAGGCAGAGGUUGCAGUGAGUCUAGAUCACGUCACUGCACUCCGGCCUGAGUGACAGAGCAAGACUUCCUCUUAAAAAAAAAACAAACCGGCUUUGCAGACGCCGAUGCUGCCGCCACCGCCUGGAGCCUUGUAGUAUCAGCCAUGAUCAACCCCACCGUGUUCUUCGACAUUGCCGUCAACGACGAGCCCUUGGGCCGUGUCUCCUUCGAGCUGUUUGCAGACAAGUUUCCAAAGACAGCAGAAAACUUUUGUGCUCUGAGCACUGGAGAGAAAGGAUUUGGUUAUAAGGGUUCCUGCUUUCACAGAAUUAUUCCAGGUUUAUGUGUCAGGGUGGUGACUUCACACGCCAUAAUGGCACUGGUGGCAAGUCCAUCUAUGGGGAGAAAUUUGAUGAUGAGAACUUCAUUCUAAAGCAUACAGGUCCCGGCAUCUUGUCCAUGGCAAAUGCUGGACCCAAUGCAAACGGUUCCCAGUUUUUCAUCUGCACUGUCAAGACUGAGUGUUUGGAUGGCAAGCAUGUGGUCUUUGGCAAGGUGAAAGAAGGCAUGAAUAUUGUGGAGGCCAUGGAGCGCUUUGGGUCCAGGAAGGGCAAGACCAGCAAGAAGAUCACCAUUGCUGACUGUGGACAACUUUAAUAAGUUUGACUUGUGUUUUAUCUUAACCACCAGACCAUUCCUUCUGUAGCUCAGGAGAGCACCCCUCCACCCCAUUUGCUCGCAGUAUCCUAAAAUCUGUGCUCUCGCUGCAGUUCCCUUUGGGUUCCAUGUUUUCCUUGUUCCCUUCCAUGCCUAGCUGGAUUGCAGAGUUAAGUUUAUGAUUAUGAAAUAAAGACUAAAUAACAA